UAGCAUAUCAAUAAGCGGAGGAAAAGAAACCAACAGGGAUUGCCCUAGUAACGGCGAGUGAAGCGGCAACAGCUCAAAUUUGAAAUCUGGCCCUCGGGUCCGAGUUGUAAUUUGUAGAGGAUGCUUUUGGUGAGGUACCUUCCGAGUUCCCUGGAACGGGACGCCAUAGAGGGUGAGAGCCCCGUCUGGUUGGAUACCGAGCCUCUGUAAAGCUCCUUCGACGAGUCGAGUAGUUUGGGAAUGCUGCUCUAAAUGGGAGGUAUAUGUCUUCUAAAGCUAAAUACCGGCCAGAGACCGAUAGCGCACAAGUAGAGUGAUCGAAAGAUGAAAAGCACUUUGAAAAGAGAGUUAAAAAGUACGUGAAAUUGUUGAAAGGGAAGCGCUUAUGACCAGACUUGGGCUUGGUUGAUCAUCCUGGGUUCUCCCUGGUGCACUCUUCCAGUUCAGGCCAGCAUCAGUUCGCUGCGGGGGAUAAAAGUUUUGGGAAUGUGGCUCCCUCGGGAGUGUUAUAGCCCAUUUCAUAAUACCCUGCUCCGGACUGAGGUUCGCGCAUCUGCAAGGAUGCUGGCGUAAUGGUCAUCAGCGACCCGUCUUGAAACACGGACCAAGGAGUCGUCUUCGUAUGCGAGUGUUCGGGUGUUAAACCCCUACGCGUAAUGAAAGUGAACGCAGGUGAGAGCUUCGGCGCAUCAUCGACCGAUCCUGAUGUUCUCGGAUGGAUUUGAGUAAGAGCAUACGGGGCCGGACCCGAAAGAAGGUGAACUAUGCCUGUAUAGGGUGAAGCCAGAGGAAACUCUGGUGGAGGCUCGCAGCGGUUCUGACGUGCAAAUCGAUCGUCAAAUAUGGGCAUGGGGGCGAAAGACUAAUCGAACCUUCUAGUAGCUGGUUUCCCCCGA
rnacentral:rRNA from 1 species